GUCUGUAUUCAAUGCGCAAACGAAUUGCGCAAUGAAAGCUCGAGUCGCGUGGUUACGCCUGAAGAGUUAGUCGCCGUUACGGCAACACGUAUCGCGAGUCGUUCCUGACAUUUCUCUCUAUAUACACAAAUACGCACAAUGUCUUUUUCUACACUUUUUACGGUAUAUUAACGAUGUCUUCUUUCUAUGUGAGUUGUGACAAAUAUGUGAGUUAGACAAAGAAUAAAAAAGAAAAGGAAGAAAAGAAAGAAGAAGAAGAAGAAGAAAAAGGAAAAGAAAAGAAAGAAAAAGAAGAAAAAGGAAAAGAAAAGGAAGAAAAGGAACGAAAAGAAGCAGAAGAAAAAAAAAAGAAGAAGAAAGAUAUUCAAGAAAGGAGUCAAACGGAAAUGAAAGAAACAGAGCGUCUCCCGCUAACCGGAAAUGUUUUGUAAGCAAACCGAGCGCCAUAUCCGGUGGCUUUGAGAGGGACACUCUAUCCGAUCGUUGCGCCUCCACCUCCUCCGAUCGCCGGAUCUUUCAUCUUUUCAACGUCAAAGUCUCGUCGAUCUUCUUUUGGUUGGGUCACGUUCGACGUUUUACGAUUAUCAGUCCCAUGACAGCUGUUUCGAUCAGGCCUUCUCCACUGAGGAUGGAGAAGGGCAAUACGUUUAACGGACAUGAUAUUUAUUUUCAUACCACCAACAAAAAAUAAUCUUUCAGUUGUCCAAAAUAAGAGCCAUGUUACUGUUAAGUAAAGAUUGAAAAUCUAUCUGUUGAUAUUGAUCUGUUGCAAUAUUGAACAUCUACUUGCAUCAUAUUUUACAAGUUUCCAGCCACGAUCAUCAUAUCUUCAUACUUUGCUUUCGCACGGCUUCCAAUUGGAAACUCAAUUUUAAAUUGGUAAUGCGAACCACCAACUCAAAGUGCACAAUAGCUUUCAUGGCAGCAAGGAAAGAAAAAGAAACGAAGAGAGAAGCCUGGGUGAAGACGCGAAAAAGGAGUCACGCUAUUUCGGUGCACGCGCCGAUCACGGAAAGGCACGUGCGCCUUGACGCAACCACGUCGUGACCCGAUAAAAGGCACUCGAACGUUUUAGGAUCCAUUAAGCAACACGAAUAGGUCGUAAACAUAUAAAACAGCUUCUCUUGUGGCCAUAGAAAAUGGUCGGGGCAACAUCUUGCAACUUCAGCCGAAGAAGAUAAGCCGCGAAAGGAUAACAAGAUAUCGUCAUUGAAGGCAACCACUUUCGCUAUCUUCUCUUCGUUCUUAUAUAUACAGAAAAAUACAAUUUUGGACGAUGUAGCAUUUUUCUUUGUUUAUCAAUAUUCUUGUGUGCCAAGUAUCUUUGCCCGACUAUUAUUUGAAUAUGCAACCUUUCGAAACUCUUACCUCCAUUUUCUUUUUUACUUUCAUUGAUAAAACUCAUUGGUAUUCCUUCAAGAAAUUAAUAAAUAACUUCGUUAUAAUCUGCUAUCUCGAUUCUUAUCUUUGUUGUCUCUAACUUUCUCUCUUUUUAUUGUUGCUUAUUUUAUCUUUAUUUAUUUUUUAUUUAUUUUUAUAACUCGGUUGGCCUGAAAUAUUCGUCGAUCUCUCUAUUUUUCAUAUCUAUUUGUCUUUCUCUUAAAGAAUAUUACUUUUCUGUAAACUUUGAAUCGAUUAUAUUCCUUCCCAUAUCAAAACAUUUUCGUCUAUAAAUAAACGUUUUGCUCGCAAUGGUUUUAUUUAAAAUAAUAAAAGCAAUUAGGUUAAAAGAGAAAGAUCCAGUAAUUGUUGGCCCACUUACCAAGCUAUUUGCCACUAUUAGGAGGGCCAUGUCGGAUUUUCAUGCCGAAUAAUACGACGAUACCUCGAUUUAACGUUCACGAUAACUUUCUUGCUUAAAAUCCAAUUAGCUUAGCCAUGGACAUCAUACAAAUUUCAAUUUUAAGGAUGAGAGCACCGCAUUGCGACACACUGUUGUUUUACUAAGCUUUCGUAACGUAAAUUCGCGAAAGAAAUUAUUAGAAGAGAAAUUCGCGCAUUCGACUUUUUCAAGAAUGUGAGUACUCUUUGGUCCGAAAAAUUCAAUGAAAUGUUCUUCAGAGCUCGUUAUCUCACCUCCUCGACGACCAGACGCACCCAACGCGUCCCCUACCAUUCCGAUCGAAGCGUUCGAGCAAGAGAGGUCACUUCGCUUUGUUCUCAAUUCACCGGACCGUGGAAAAUAGUUCGACGACCGUAGAACUCCGGAAGACCGAUCUCGCAUACUCACUCUCAUUCUUUUUUAACGUAUAGUAUAAAAUUUAAAUUUUAGCGCUAUCUUUUAUAUUUCGUUCUAAUUACUUGCCGUUAAUUAUAUAAAAUCAGAAAAAUAAGUGUAACAUUGAAAAAAUUACCUAACUGUUUAGAUGUUAACUUGAAAAAUGUUAUAUGGAAUAAGUAAUAAAAUGUAUCAUGCAUGAAUCAGUUCGGGUACAUUUUAUAUUAUUAUUUUUUAAAUCAGCUAAAAUAUUAAUAAUGAUGUAAAUAUACAUAUACGAGUGCCAUGAAGAGGGCAAAUCGAUUUUUGAAAGUAACUAGUUUUCAUAGAUCUGUUUAUU